GUGCUUGCUUCAGCAGCACAUAUACUCAAAUUGGAAUGUUACAGAGAAGAUUAGCACGGCCAAAAAAAAAAAAAUUCUUCUUGUCAUAAGAAUUUACUAACUUUA